CUGUUUUAUGCUUGAGAAUUUAUCAAAUUCCCGGACAAUAUGCAACCAUAGGUAGAAAGAAGAAAAACCCCUUAUCCCUUUCAUUUUCUCAACCCAUUCCUUCAUUCAGUUGACCCAUAACUAGAUCCAGUUCUAAGGACCAUAACAUUUUGGAUUCAAAGCCAAGAGUCACGGGUGACAUCAUAUAAUAGGACAAAAUUCUCCAUUUUUGCCAUGAAGAGCAAUAGAAGCAAAUUUGGCAGCUAUUACCCAAGACUUGGGGAAUGCUAAACAGGCAACAUCAUCAGCAGGGGCAAAAAGUUAUAGUAUUACACGAAAAGAUAAAGGUCUAGUAAGAAUUACGAGUUCAAAUUUUUCGGAGGAAGCAGUCUUGUUCCCAAAUUCACAAAGUUAGGUUUUUCACAUUUUGAUGGACAAGAAGAUCCUUUGAGAUUGGUUAGUAGGUGUAGACAUUUUUCCCACAAUCAACUGACGUUGGAAGAGGAGAAACUAGGCUUAGCUUCUUUUCACUUGGAAGGUACAACUCUAGGAAGCACGGACAUGGUUCAUCCCUCCUCGUACCGGUUUCGUACGUGUGUCCAACACGGACACUCGUCGGAACGCCCCGAUACAUACGGAACAUGCCAGAAUACAUCAAGAAAAAAAGGAGGUCGGACAAGUUCCCGACAUGGGUGUCUAAAAAUGGACAUAUGACAGACGCAAGAAAAUUAGAUGGUGGCUGACGACGGCGGCUGAAAUUUUGAUGAAAUGUUGGCUUUUGAGGGAUUGAAGGUUGGAGAACAGAGGUGUUUACAAAAUGGUGUCCCUGAGUUUGCAAGAAUACAGAUGGAGAGGGAUAGAAGAGGUCUGAGUCACUGGGGCUCUCUGGAUGGAUGUGUAAGUUUUGGGUAGAGGAAGAGACGAAGGUAGUCGAAGGGUCUGUUGAAAACUUGGAAAUGAAGAAGAGAUAAGCACAGAGGGGUUUUUCCAAGAACUUGUUGCUUUUCUGGAACUGUGCCUUUAGAUUUUUUCAGCUGAAACUAGGAAGUUUCUAGAGUACCCUCUAUUAUUUAGUUGGAUAAAAGCUUGUUUUCGGGCCUUUUAUGACUGUUCUAUUUUGGGC
rnacentral:lncRNA from 1 species